GGGGCUGUGUAGCAGAGCGCCCAGCUGGACGAAUCUCCCAGCCAGUUGGGGAGCCCCUCUGAGGGUCAUUCCUGCGGAUGUGGCCGUCGGGAGGACCAGCCCGUUUGCAGACCAAGCUUUUGCUUCCUCUCAUCCCUCCUGAGGAAGACCCUGGGAAAGGAAUGCUCUUCCUGCGGGCCCUUCCUCAGACACCAGGCAAACGGGUGAAGGUGCAGAGACCACCUCAUAAUUCCGUGUGUGUUCCUUGACGGAAGGGGCAGCAGAGCACCCAGCACUGGAUACUCAGUGUCAGAUGAGUGAACAAGCAAAUGGCUGAUGUCUGGUUUCAAUGUUUGCCUACGAGGAGAUGUACUCCGCUCCCAGCUCUUAGCCUCACCAUGCAGUGGAAGGGAAGGAGGCUUCUGAACUGGCAGCUCUACAUUCUUCCCCUCUCUGUGCAACUUGUUUAGAUCACAGAACUGGAAGGGACCCCAAAAAUCCCAUUCUCCCACCCCUCCGAUUAGAGAGGAAGAAACAGAGGCCCAGACUCAACAGACUUGCCAAAACCCAUGGACCUGGUUGGGGGCCCACAUCUAGCACUUUCCCCAGCCUCACAGCCUGCCUUGUUUAUUUGUUCAGCAGUUUUUGUUUCGCCAUGGCACAGCUUGUUCCGACUCUGGAACAUUUAUGAGAUGAGCCAAUUUUUAAAAAUCAUAGAAAAUAAAUGGUUUGCUCUUGGAGCUGAAGGGCGGGGCAGCCAGGGUGGGAGACAGGUUCCAGGCCAGUUCUGGGGCAGAAUUUUGGCUUAUCCUUUGCUGUGUUUUUUUAUUCUCCUGCCUUGGGAACCAAAAGGAUUUCAGUGGGAUUUCCUGCCUCGAUUUCUCCAGUACUAUGAUAUGGAAAGACUAGAACAUUCAACCAUACACUUUCUGAUUCUCACCUCCACCAUCAUUAGUUCCAUUCCAAACUCUGGCUCCUACCCAUUGAGUUCAAGCUACAGCCUGAUUCAACUGAUCAACCUGGGGAUGGUGGUGUCAGGACUAGCACCUGGACCAUUCUGCCUCCUCUGCCUGCAACAUCCUCUCUAUCUGCUUGUGAACUCUUCUCCUUCAAAACCCAGCGGUUACGUCACCACUUCUAAAACCUUGAACUGAUUCCCCACGUAGUCGGCCAGCUACUUUUUAAAUUUAAAAAAGCCCAACCAGAAUAAACAGGAUAGCUAAAAUGCUGAA
rnacentral:lncRNA from 1 species